rnacentral:rRNA from 1 species
ACUCAAAUGAAUAGACGGGGACCCGCACAAGCGGUGGAGCAUGUGGUUUAAUUCGAUGCAACGCGAAGAACCUUACCUACCCUUGACAUCCUUCGAAUCUUGCAGAGAUGCAGGAGUGCCGAAAGGAGCGAAGAGACAGGUGCUGCAUGGCUGUCGUCAGCUCGUGUCGUGAGAUGUUGGGUUAAGUCCCGUAACGAGCGCAACCCUUGUCCUUAGUUGCCAUCAUUAAGUUGGGAACUCUAAGGAGACUGCCGGUGAUAAACCGGAGGAAGGUGGGGAUGAGGUCAAGUCAUCAUGGCCUUUAUGGGUAGGGCUACACACGUGCUACAAUGGUCGGUACAAAGGGAAGCGAAGCUGCGAGGUGGAGCGAAACUCAAAAAACCGAUCUUAGUCCGGAUUGGAGUCUGCAACUCGACUCCAUGAAGCUGGAAUCGCUAGUAAUCGCGGAUCAGAACGCCGCGGUGAAUACGUUCUCGGGUCUUGUACACACCGCCCGU